rnacentral:rRNA from 1 species
UACGUAGGGACCAAGCGUUGUUCGGAUUUACUGGGCGUAAAGGGCGCGUAGGCGGCGUGUUAAGUCAGCUGUGAAAUCUCCAAGCUUAACUUGGAACGGUCAGCUGAUACUGAUGUGCUAGAGUGCAGAAAGGGCAAUCGGAAUUCUUGGUGUAGCGGUGAAAUGCGUAGAUAUCAAGAGGAACACCGGUGGCGAAGGCGGUUCUCUGGGCCUUACCUGACGCUGAGGAGCGAAAGCGUGGGGAGCGAACAGG